GGCUGCUGUGAGGAUGUAAUGCCAUUACCCAGGUUUGGGUCUCAGCGGAGGACUUGGCGCACUGCACGGUCUCCACACGUGGGGCCGAUCUGGUGCGGUGUUUCCUCCCUCCAGGCACCAAGCUAAGUCUUGGCCCUCAUCAUUUCAUGAACCCUCACAACACCGCAUUAGGUCAGUAUUUUAUUUUCCUGUUUUGCAAAAGAGGAAACUGAGGCCCAGCGAAGUGAAGUGCCUUUGGCCACGGGCAUGUGGCCUCAAAGCCUGGCAGGCCCCUGAGGGCCACCCCAGCUGCAGGCACAACGUGCUCCCAUGGUCCUCACCGUCCUCACCGCCCUCACCGCCCUCACCACCCUCACCGUGCAAAGGCCUUCCCGGGCCUUCCUGCACCCCUCCUUCAUCUCUCCACCCUUUCCUGCCGCAGAGUCAGCUUCCUCUCCCGAAACAGGGUUCCAGUUAUCUUAACACAAAAGCAGCUUUAUUGGAGGCAGCUUCCGGGCCGGGGCUCUCCACGAGGGUCUUCACGUGGUCAGGGCUGCCCUCACCCAAGCUGCAGCCUCCUCACAGGCAGCGCAGCCCCGCAGCCCUGCCCAUGGGCCUCCUGCUCCAGCCCUGGCCUGUCCUGCCUCUCUGCCCAGUCCAGGCUGUGCUGCGCCUUUUCUCAUCCAUAGCCUAGCUACUAAUGACUGCCCAGCAAGCAUGCUGCCCUCACUCCACAACCAGCCAGCAAAGGAAAAGCUCUGGGCUCUCAAGCGGCCUCCUCAAGCCUCCCAGCCACAAGGACUCACCGAGGACAGUCCCACCAUCACCCAGGGCACAGAAAUGUCAAAAGCAGCAAAACCUCAGAGCAAAGCCACGGAGCCACAGAGUCCUCUCAAAGCAAGAAAGUCCCCAUCCCCUGUCUCAAGUUCUCUGCAAAAAUGCUCACUAUAGGGGCCGGGCACGGCGGCUUACACCUGUAAUCCCAGCUACUAGGGAGGCUAAGACAGGAGAAUCGCUUGAACCCAGGAGGCAGAGGUUGCAGUGAGCCGAGAUUGUGACACUGCAAUCUAGCCUCGGCCACAGAGCAAGAUUCCGUCUCAAAAAAAAAUGCUCACUAUCUAAGCAAGUUGUUUAGAUGCCGGAGGGGUUUGGUGUGUUGAAGGAAGGCGCUGGGUGGUUUCUGUCAUUUCACAUUGCCUGUUGCUUUUGGGUCAGGGACAGCGGUCACCAGCUGAUUGGGGGGCAUAGGAACCUGACUGGGACAUUUCACAUACCACAGGAGGAGCGGAUCAGCUGAGCAAGGGCUGCGCCAGCUGGCAAGUAUUCACGUCUGUUUUCAAAGGCCAUACCCCCCAUGGCAGCGUCAGCACCGUUCAGAAGCCAGGGAGGUUGGACAGCAUAACCUCUGGAGGGAAUCUAGAGUGGCCCCCACCCCACCCUAGCACCCUCCUCAGGUCCACAGGGGAGAACGACCAAUCUAAUUAAAAGGUUCUGAGGUGCGAUGAUGGUGGCAGUAAUUAUCUCCUGGCUCUCUGGGGGUCCCUGUCCUUCCUGAGAGCCCUCGGCAUGUUCUCAAAGACAGUCUUACUUGUGCUGCGACAGUUCUGUGAAGGUAGAAACUACAGAACCACAGAAACGACAGCAUUGAGUUCCUAGCAAAGUUGAGGCCCAGAGAGGUUAAAGGUCAUGCUGGGUCACUUUUGUCCAAGGUCAUACUGUAUGAUUUAUAAAAAAACUGAAAUUGGCAGUUUCUUAAAAGUUAAACGUGCAUCUAACAUGAAACCCAGGCAUCCCACUCCUAGCUAUUGAUCCAAGAUAAAUGAAAGCACAUGUGCCCAUAAAGGCUUGUACCCAGAUAUUUAUAGCAGUUUUAUCCAUAACAGCCAAAAACUAAAAAUAGCUCAAAUAUCCAUCAACAGGUGAGUGGAUAAGCAAAUUGGGAUAUACUCCUAGGCUGGAAUACUAUUCAGCAAUAAAAAGAAUGAAUUAGCCCA
rnacentral:lncRNA from 13 species